AUGUUUUCACGCGUGAAUUCAGUAUAAAACGACGGUGCGCUUUGUUAUUACAGUAUAACAUCAAGUUCACGUCGAUAACACUUGAGAUUUUUGUGUUUUUGAAGAAAAAUGAAAUUUACGUUGAUUUUUGCGCUUGUUUUGAUUGUUUUGGCUGUGCUUACUGGACAAUGCGAAGGACGAUGGAAAGCAUGGAAGAAAAUAGAAAACAAAGCUAAAAAGGGAUGGAAAGUUGUAAAAGAAGUCGCGCCUGUUGCUGGAACUAUCGCUGCGGUUUCCUCACUCGGAAAAAAAUAAAAAAAUAAAAAAAUAAAAUUAUUUUAAUUAA